GGGUUAGGAUCAGUUGCUUGGCAACAGCGCUAAUGGACGUUACCAGCGACUGGUAAACAUCUCUCCCCAAAUGUCAAAAUGUCCCCGUUAAUGAGAGGCAGCAUGUGAACGUGCAACUCUCAUCAGUUUCCGAUCGAGAAGUGAGCGGAGCUCAUCUGUGACAAAGCUUAAGCUUUUUUGGAAAGACGAUUUCUUUGGGGGAAAGCAACAAGAAAAUCUCUGGAAUCAACUCCCGAGAAAGUCUAAAAUUGAGCGCCAGCACACCGUUUCCAAAAGAAAACUGCUGGCCUGGUCAAGAGCAAAACCUAGGCAGCUGUGGUGCAAAUGAGUUCCUCCUGAAGCCAGUCUCAGGAAAGCGAGUUGUGCGAGACGGGGAAGAUGUGUGCCAAAGGUCAAAUCAUGACAGCCACGUCAAGGACCCAGAUCUCCAUAUGUGGGUCACACGCUUUACCCCUGCACCAUCACCGCACCCAGGCAGCAUCAUCCUGUGGGGUCCUGGAAUCCUGGAGGAAAACUCGCCAUAGGCUGGACAAGAAUUUCCACUAAGGUCACGUCAAUUGAGGUUUUCGGUCCUUGAAAAUGAGCUCAAGCAGAUGCAUUGACGAGGAGGAAGGCGCUGACCCGGUGACAGACGGCGUGAGGGAGCGGUCGGAGACCCGCAGGCGUGAGUCACAGGAGG